AGUGAACGCUGGCGGUAGGCCUAACACAUGCAAGUCGAACGGCAGCACAGUAAGAGCUUGCUCUUACGGGUGGCGAGUGGCGGACGGGUGAGGAAUACAUCGGAAUCUACUUUUUCGUGGGGGUUAACGUAGGGAAACUUACGCUAAUACCGCAUACGACCUACGGGUGAAAGCAGGGGAUCUUCGGACCUUGCGCGAUUGAAUGGGCCGAUGUCGGAUUAGCUAGUUGGCGGGGUAAAGGCCCACCCAGGCGCCGAUCCGUAGCUGGUCUGAGAGGAUGAUCAGCCACACUGGAAGGGAGACAGGGACCAGACUCCUACGAGAGGGAGCAGUGGGGAAUAGUAGACAACAGGCGCAAGCCUGAUCCAGUCAUACCGCGUCGGUGAAGAAGGCCUUCGGGUUGUAAAGCCCUUUUGUUGGGAAAGAAAAGCAGCAGGUUAAUACCACGCUGUUCUGACGGUACCCAAAGAAUAAGCACCGGCUAACUUCGUG
rnacentral:rRNA from 1 species